GUGCACCAGGCGCGAAACCUCCGCAAUGCGCGCAAGCGCGACGGGGCCAUCCCGAGUGCUUGCACGUAAGUGUAAGCUGUUUCUCUGUCUAAAACGCAGAGAGAGUAAGGGCUGGGUAAGACGGGUGCCAGCCGCCGCGGUAAUACCUGCAGCUCAAGUGGUGACCGUUAUUAUUGGGCCUAAAACGUCCGUAGCCGGUUUAAUAAAUGCCUGGGUAAAUUGUGUAGCUUAACUAUACGAAUUCCGGGUAGACUGUUAAACUUGAGACCGGGAGAAGUUAGAGGUACUCCUGGGGUAGAGGUGAAAUUCUGUAAUCCUAGGGGGACCACCAGUGGCGAAGGCGUCUAACUAGAACGGGUCUGACGGUGAGGGACGAAGCCCUGGGGCGCAAACGGGAUUAGAUACCCGUGUAGU
rnacentral:rRNA from 1 species